ACCUUAGGUGGCCUAGUUGGUCUAUGGCUUUCGGCUCGCACCACACGAUGCCGAAAGAUCCCGGGUUCGAUCCCCGGCCAAGCUC